rnacentral:rRNA from 1 species
UACGUAGGUGGCAAGCGUUGUCCGGAAUUAUUGGGCGUAAAGCGCGCGCAGGCGGUCCUUUAAGUCUGAUGUGAAAGCCCACGGCUCAACCGUGGAGGGUCAUUGGAAACUGGGGGACUUGAGUACAGAAGAGAAGAGUGGAAUUCCACGUGUAGCGGUGAAAUUCGUAGAUAUUGGGAAGAACACCGGUGGCGAAGGCGGCUCACUGGUCCGAUACUGACGCUGAGGUGCGAAAGCGUGGGGAGCAAACAGG